AUCUGGGGACGAGGCUUGCAUCGGGUGCUAUCCAAUUUCGCUAACGCCACGUGCUAUCCGAUUUCGCUAACGCUAUGCGCUAUCUCAUUUCGCUAACGCUAGCUUACGCAGUUUGUACGCUACACCAACGCUAUUUGUUUUACGCUAUACUCUCGUUAUGUCUCGAGCUACACGAAGUAGUACGGCCGUACUCUCUGCAGAAGACCGGCAGGAGAUUAUACGGGAUGUUGUUCAAGCGGUUUUGGAGGCAUCCUCUGCAAAUGGGUCAGGAAACUCUUCCUCCUCGCCACCUUAUUCUUCACAGCCUGCACUGCCACCUUCUUCCACCUCCGCAGCACGUGUGAUGAGUUUAAAUGAAUUAUAAAAAGCUGGCUGUGUGGCUAGCUGCUUUUUGCGCAUUCUGUGUUUAGAUCACUCCUGAAAAAUUCUAUAGCAGGAAUCUGGAUAAUAAUGUAGUUAUUGACUAUUAUUUUUGACUCUGAAGAUGACUUCCGCUCAGGUUGUCGAAUCGUCAGUCACAUCAAACAGUCUUUCUUUUAGACUACAUCCACCCGGAUGAUCAUAACACUUCAAUUAACAAUGAAGUUAUAAUAUAAUAAUAAUAAUAAUAAUAAUAAGUCAACAUAGUAUUUGAUUUUCUAUCUGGGUAUCACACGGAUUUGAUUAGUAAACUGACUGAUGUAGGCCUCACUGAUGGUCUAAAAAUCGUAAGAAAGUGUCAGAAAUGGGUUAUUUCACAGAACUGUGAGAUUGCGAAACGUCUGUACAAUUGUUAAAUUUGUAUACAUCUUUGUAAAACCAGUCAUGCAGACAUUUGCCUAGACUAUUCAUGACCGCAAUAUUCUGUAUUCAUGUAGCAAAAAUGUCUGAAGCUGAAAUAAACAUAUAAACAAAUGCUAAUAAUAACAACUCCAAUGUGAAGUUCGACGUUUGAACUGAGCCUAAGACAAUAUUCAGGAGGAAAAAAGGCAUUGAGCAGGCUCGAUAAGCAUAGACCACCUAGAGAGAUCUUCUGUUUGCCUCCAGUUUUUCCAAGUAAAGACCAACACCUGGAUAAUUAAAACAAAGGGUCUGGGGACGAGAAUGUGAACUUGACAAAUAAAGAAAAAUGUACUCACCAAUAGAGGCUUCAACAUCGUAGGGAAUCUGUGCGUUAGGCCAUAGUCUGGUAUUGAUGGAUGCUCUUUCUCCUCUCGUSUCC